rnacentral:piRNA from 1 species
UCGACACAGAUCUCCGUGUCCAAGCUGUGA